UGCAACAUGCCACCCUACAGCACACAACUUCACACAUCCAUUCACCACCACACCAUGUGGCCAGUGUGUUACUUGCUCUCUCUUUCUAUCUCUCUCGCUCUCUGGUGUGUUAGAUGUUGAUGAGUGUGCACAGUCUCCAAGUCCAUGUGGGUAUCAGUGCCGAAACGUACCUGGUAGUUUCCGGUGUUUGUGUCUCCCGGGGACUGUAUUUUUGGUGGACGGCCGGUCGUGUGCUGGACUCGAGAGAGAAAAUGUGUUUAGUAAUCGAACUUGGGUUCGAGCUGGACUUCAGCCCCAGUUGGUGUCCACAAGGGGUCAAACACUAACACUGCCACAAUACACACAGCAGGGGGCACCGUGGAGCAACUUACACACCUGCCCUCCUGGUUAUACAAGCAAAGCCGGUAGCUGUGUGGACAUUGAUGAGUGUGUGAUCAGAAAGCCAACACAAGUGUCAGAACUCAGUGGGAAGUUUUCUGUGUUUUUGCCCUUCAGGGUAUCAGCUCAUGUAUCUCUUCAUGUUUGACCGUUGGACUCCAUUCAGGUCACAUGACCAUGCAAAGUUCAAUAUAUUCACACAUUCAUUUGGUAAAUUACAUUUACCAAACCAAAUGUGCUUUAACACGAGGGGGAGUUAUCAGUGUUUGGACACUCCAUGUCCUGCCAGCUAUCACAGAGGAGGUCCAGGACUGUGCUACAAGCCAUGUUCUCAUGGGUGUGCUGCAGGAUCGUCUCUCCUCCUUCAGUAUAAACUCAUCACACUUCCUCUGGGAAUUCCAGCUCAACACAACGUCAUCUGACUGUCAGCAUUUUCGGAGUCUGGUGUUCUUCAGGAGAGAACAUUAUUCACCAUCCUCGAACAAAAUGGAGAGAUUACAAAACAGCUGUUUGGGAUUAAAGACAAGGCUUUAAGAGGAAUCAUCUUCACCACUCGCUCUUUAAAUCAGUCUGGUCUAGUGAAUCUGAAGGUCUAAGCAACCACACUCAACCAGCAAGGACAAAUCACUUACCAGUUUAUUCAUUAUCUACAUCUCAAUUUCUGCUUAUCCAUUCUGAUCCCUCUAUCUCCAGUUAUUCACACGUAUCCCUCCACCUCCACUCGUCCACACUGGUCCAUCAUUAGUUAGCGUUUAU